UUAGUUACCAAGGCGAUGUAUAAUGUACCGUGGAAUCCCAGAUAUCAAAAAAAGCAUUAUAGAUAUUGGGCUGUUGUUUUUUGUAUUCUGGCUUUACUAAUACUUACAUUAUUUCUAUUGGCCAAGCGCCCACCAGAAGUCUGCACAGACUUCGAAGUCCUCUGUUUGGAAGAUGGGGACUUAUGAAGACGCUCAAGAUGCUAUAAUUCUUCUACCAUGCUACCAUAUAAUAAUAAACAUUUGCUGAAUGUUGUCUUAAGUUGA